UCUACAAGUACCGCCGGACUCUGCUGCGUCACAAGCGGUACGAGUGUCAGCAGCUAGAGGGCCAGUUCGCCUGUCAGUUCUGCUCCUAACAGACCAAGUGGAAGUCCAACCUCAGCAGCCACGUACUGUUCAGACACUCGGACAUGCUCGCCAUCUCUAAACCUAAAGUCGCCCAGGUUCUCCAUCAAUAGUCGCGAUGUACUACUCUACAAGUACCGCCGGACUCUGCUGCGUCACAAGCGGUACGAGUGUCAGCAGCUAGAGGGCCAGUUCGCCUGUCAGUUCUGCUCCUAACAGACCAAGUGGAAGUCCAACCUCAGCAGCCACGUACUGUUCAGACACUCGGACAUGCUCGCCAUCUCUAAACCUAAAGUCGCCCAGGUUCUCCAUCAAUAGUCGCGAUGUACUACUCUACAAGUACCGCCGGACUCUGCUGCGUCACAAGCGGUACGAGUGUCAGCAGCUAGAGGGCCAGUUCGCCUGUCAGUUCUGCUCCUACCAGACCAAGUGGAAGUUCAACCUCAGCAGCUAAAUACUGUUCAGACACUCGGACAUGCUCGCCGACUAACUCAGAACGACCUAACUUUAAUAUAACCCAGUAUUUCGCUUUCCUCUAUAGAAUAUACAGAUCUCAAUUUGUUUACUUUUAGUAUUAAGUGAUUGUGUUCAAUCUUUUGUCAAAUUGCUCGUUUAAAUGUUUACUGAAUUUUAGUUUGCUCUAUUCAUGUGAUAUUUCAUUUUAAUUUUUGUCAAUUUUGAUACUUGAACUUAAAUUGUACUUAACUUAUGUGAUUUGUAAAACAAUCUUUUUCAACCCACAAUUACAAGAAACCAUCCAAAACUUACAAUGUUAGUAAUAAUUUACUAAAACUACUGAUUUUCAAACACAAAAAUGGCGGUUUAAGUUAUUACAGUUGUUUGGUCGUAUCCUAAAUUGUAUUAUAAUGCUUUAUAAAAAAAUAGACUCCUACCAUUCAGUGAAUUGCUUAUUACCUAUUACUUUAUGACAAUUGCUAUUCCGCAGGACAUACUGUGAUUCUAUAGUUCAUAAAAUUGUUACAUUCAAAGUAUAAUUAUUAUUCUAUGGUUGUCAAUGUAGAUAAUCUUAUAAAAUAUUAUAUAAGACUUGAUAGUUAUGACAUAUUUAAAAUAGUUUUGUAUAUAUUGUAUAUCCAAUAAAUGAAUAAUGCAUUAAUUCAUCAUUGCUUCAACAGUUUCCCGUAUUUGUCCGUUUUGAGACUGCUGUUAGUAUAUCGAAUAUAAGAACUACAUUACAUAGUUCCUACGGAGAAGCUUGAGACUGCUGUUAGUAUCCAUUAUGAGGAUUACAUUACAUAGUAUGGGAAAGUUUGAGACUGCUAUUAGUAUCCAUUAUGAGGAUUACAUUACAUAGUAUGGGAAAGUUUGACUGCUAUUAGUAUCCAUUAUGAGGAUUACAUUACAUAGUUUGGGAACGGUUGAGACUGCUAUUAGUAUCCAUUAUGAGGAUUACAUUACAUAGUAUGGGAAAGUUUGAGACUGCUAUUAGUAUCCAUUAUGAGGAUUACAUUACAUAGUAUGGGAAAGUUUGAGACUGCUAUUAGUAUCCAUUAUGAGGAUUACAUUACAUAGUAUGGGAAAGUUUGAGACUGCUAUUAGUAUCCAUUAUGAGGAUUACAUUACAUAGUAUGGGAAAGUUUGAGACUGCUAUUAGUAUCCAUUAUGAGGAUUACAUUACAUAGUAUGGGAAAGUUUGAGACUGCUAUUAGUAUCCAUUAUGAGGAUUACAUUACAUAGUUUGGGAACGGUUGAGACUGCUAUUAGUAUCCAUUAUGAGGAUUACAUUACAUAGUUUGGGAACGGUUGAGACUGCUAUUAGUAUCCAUUAUGAGGAUUACAUUACAUAGUAUGGGAACGGUUGAGACUGCUAUUAGUAUCCAUUAUGAGGAUUACAUUACAUAGUUAUGGGAAAGUUUGAGACUGCUAUUAGUAUCCAUUAUGAGGAUUACAUUACAUAGUAUGGGAAAGUUUGAGACUGCUAUUAGUAUCCAUUAUGAGGAUUACAUUACAUAGUAUGGGAAAGUUUGAGAAAAGUUAAUGUUUGUGUUAUAAACAAAUUGACUCCCAGUACCAUAAGCGGUAACUAUAUUUAUUUGAGUUGAGCAUUUUUUUCGAAACGUGACAGGUACAAUCUUAUAAAUUUAAGCAAAAAAGUUUAGAUGUGAAGAAACAAUUUUUAGUAUCAAUUAGUUUGUGUUUCAUAUUUUAAAGUCACCGAUAGAUGAUUAAUUAAAUAAAUUUUGGAUAAUGCGAUAAAAAUAGUGCAAAUUUUACGUCUUAAAACAUUAAAAGUAAAAAGUGAUAUUAGAGCUUUUGAUUAAUGCAUGACUCGUUUCUGCUCACAUGAUCGUAAAUUAUAUAUAUUCAUUAAUUAUAUAAUACCAGCCCUUGGACCCCAGAGAAGAUUUUGUUAUGAAGUAUAUCCUAUGCUUCGUCUUUCCAUGUCGUUAGAUAGAACUCAGAGGGUUAACGACUUAUUAAAUUAUAUUUUUGAACUGAUCACCAAUUUUAUCGGAACAUGUUUUGUUUCUUGACACUUUUCCCGUCCAAUCGAGAUCUCUGACAAUGUCUCACAGUGGUGUUGGUUAUUUUCAGGAGACAAUUACAAGUUGGCCCUAGGGGACGAUGGCAAGACGAGAUUCGUGUGUUUGGACUGCGGAAGGUCGUAUUGCCGAAAACCCAAUCUGACCAAACACCAGCGCUACGAGUGCAAAACUCCGCCUCGAUUCCACUGUCCCGUGUGUCCGUACCGUGCCAGGCAGAAGACUUCACUCAAAACUCACGUAUCUUUCAAACACAAGGAAUACUGGAACACCAGCCACCUUCAGUUGAACACCCAACCAUAAAGUUUACAUAUCUGAUUUACGGUGAGACGUACAAAGUUAUCGAAGGAGACGAGGGCAAGCCCAGGUUCGUCUGUCUGGCGUGCAAUCGCUCCUACUCCCGUAAGCCUAACCUGACUCACCACCAGCGUCACGAGUGCGGCAAGGAUCCUCACUUCCUCUGUCCCGUCUGUCCGUACGGGGCCAAGCGCAGGAACACCCUGUACACUCACAUCAGCUUCCGACACAGGGAGUACUGGCAGGAGAACUACCAGACUCUCAACGCACUCAAACACAAGAGGCUGUUGGUCUGACGGACUUUUCCUCUUGUGUCGUAUGUUGUAUUAUCGGGUUUCUGGAGACUCUUGUGUCUUUGACUACAAUAUUGUACGCAUUCGCAGAACCUCCUAACAAACUAUGAUCGUAGAUUUAUUGUAUUAUAUAACUGAACAUAUACGUACAAGACAUUAAAUGUUUAUAUAAUUAAUAAAUUAUAAGGCAAAUUAAAUGUAGCAGCCUGUUAAAGUAUAUUUUGGAAUAAACGUAGUUAUAUUGA